CGGCGGGGACCAGGGCAAUAUGG
rnacentral:miRNA from 10 species